AAUGGUACCAAAUGAUUUCACCAUAUCUGUUAAUUGACGUCUGACAUGCGGCUAAUUAAAUGGAUUCAUGUCGAACGCAUUUCCUUCCGGUUCGCCAUCGUUAAUCUCUCUGCAAUAAACAAGCGGUGCUAUUCAAAAGCAGUUGGAGUUGAUUGUUGCCUGAUUCGCCAUAUUUUGUGUGCAUGUAGCUACAUGAUUUCGCCAUCGCGUGAUUGCAACUUCAUUUUUGUACGGCUUUCAUACACUGGCUGUACGUGUCGCUUAGUGGGAGAAGAUAGAAGAGGCGGCGAUAACGUGCACGCCUGCAAGUAUUUGAAACGCACAGAAAUUUUCAUUUAAAAACAAAUCAUUUAUAGCAUGGACAGAGAUAAGCGACAGGUUGGCUUUGCCCACUUAAGUCCAGCCCCUCCGUCUUGGAGUCGAGUGGGUAUCACAAAGUCAACAACGAACUGAAAUUUUCUUUCACUAUCUCACCGUAGACGGUAGUUUGGCUUCGCUUUUCACGUUAGGUUAUUGGACUCGUAAAAAGCAGAGGACUGGUGAACAACAUGUAAAGUCGAAACUUGUAAUUGACGUCUGAGACACAAGAACGACGAUGGAACCCAGCGGGCAGCAGGAAGAAAGCGUUGACAGGGCGGAAAUGCGGCAGCAGGCAACAGCUGAGUUGAAAUUUGGAAACAUUUCAUUACAAAAGGCCACUAAUGUAACCUAUCACCGGCCUUUGGUGGACAGGAAUGUCCGUAGUAAAAUGAUGGGUCGGGGCCGUUUCAGAGGAUGCACUCUCUGGUUUACAGGAUUUUCCGGUGCUGGAAAGACGACGCUUUCAUUUGCGCUGGAAGAUUACCUGAUCGCUCGAGGCAUUCCUUCGUUUUGUCUCGACGGUGACAACAUGAGAGUCGGCCUUAAUUCCGAUUUAGAUUUCUCCGAUGGUGAUCGAGAGGAGAACAUCCGACGGGUGACUGAAGUGUCCAAACUCUUUGCCGAGUCGGGCGUCGUGACGCUCUGCGCCUUCGUGUCGCCCUUCCGUCAGGAUCGAGAUAAUGCUAGGAAAAUUCAUCAAAAAGCUGGACUUCCAUUCAUGGAAAUCUAUGUGGACGCUCCGCUGGAAGUCUGCGAAAAACGUGACCCCAGGGGUCUUUACAAAAAGGCUCGACGAGGCGAAAUCAAAAAUUUCACUGGAAUCGAUUCACCGUACGAACCCCCACAGCGUCCCGACAUGACGUUGCCCACCAACGAAAUGUCCGUCAGCGAAUGCACUCAACAGCUGGUCGACAUGCUCGUCACUAGGAACAUUUUGCCUCAAACUGCCCAGGCUUCUGUGCUGGAACUUUUCGUAGCCGAUCCAAUCCAAGCCAGAGCCGAAAUGGAGACGUUACCUUCGCUGGAAAUUAGUAAAAUCGACCUGCAAUGGGUGCAGGUGUUGUCCGAAGGAUGGGCAUCUCCUCUUAGAGGAUUCAUGAGAGAACGUGAAUAUCUCCAGAUCAUGUACUUUAAAAGUAUUCACGAAGGUGUGGCCGUCUCCAAUCAGAGCAUGCCCAUCGUGUUGGCCGUCAGCACGGAGAAUAAACUGAGGUUGAGUGGCUGUCCUGCCAUUGCUCUGCGUUACCUGGGCAAGCCGAUUGCCAUUAUGAGGACACCGGAAUUUUUCGAACAUCGCAAGGAGGAACGAUGUGCCCGUCAGUUCGGUACGACGCAUCCCGACCAUCCGUACAUCCGCAUCAUCAAUGCCAGUGGCGAUUGGCUGGUUGGCGGUGAGCUGGAAGUCCUGGAACGAAUCAGAUGGAACGACGGACUGGAUGACUAUCGCCCAACACCAACCGAAUUGAAACGCAUAUUCCAGACGAUGGGAGCGGAUGCUGUUUUCGCCUUCCAGCUGAGAAAUCCCGUCCACAACGGCCACGCCCUUCUGAUGCAAUUCACAUGUCAAACGUUAUUGGAAAGGGGCUACAAGAAGCCCGUCCUUUUACUGCAUCCGUUGGGCGGGUGGACGAAAGACGAUGACGUUCCAUUGCACGUCAGGAUGGAGCAACACAAGGCCAUUCUGGAAGAGAAAGUGUUGGAUCCGGAGAACACUGUCCUGGCCAUUUUCCCAUCGCCCAUGAUUUACGCCGGCCCGACUGAAGUCCAAUGGCACGCCCGCGCUCGAUUGACGGCCGGCGUUAAAUUUUACAUCGUCGGUCGAGAUCCGGCCGGAGUGGAACACCCAGACGUCUUCAUGAACAAGCACCUGUACGAACCGACGCACGGCGGCAAAGUGCUGUCCAUGGCCCCUGGGCUGGCCGGCAUGGAAAUCAUCCCGUUCCGUGUAGCAGCCUACGACAAAGUGGCGAAUGCCAUGAAUUUCUUCGAUCCGGAUCGCAGCCAGGAUUUCGACUUUAUUUCCGGAACUCGGAUGAGAGGAUUAUAGAUGGAGACGGUUGCUGGGCCAUUGUAGCCGAGCAGUUCGCUUGCAACCAGAAAUAUCUGCUUUUCGGUAGACGUGUCGAUCCAGCACACGCACCGAUUAGGAAAGAUUACAAACAAAACGGUGGGCGCACGACGAAAUCCAAAGCAAACCGUUGGCCCCCUGGCUUUGAAAUUAUCAGUUGCCUGUGCUGUUUUUGGUUGGGUUUUUGAAAAGAUCGAAUUCCGUCAAAGCGAGAAGAAUGUUGAGAAACGUCGAUGAAAAGCCAACAAACAAAACGGGAGGAGGAGGAAAACCCCAAAAAAAGGGGUGGCCAAGAAGAUAACAGCCGUUGUUCAAGAUCCUCCCUUUUUUUUUUGGGUUUGUU
rnacentral:misc_RNA from 1 species